UACGAAGGGGGGCUAGCGUUGUUCGGAAUUACUGGGCGUAAAGCGUACGUAGGCGGAUUGUUAAGUGAGGGGUGAAAUCCCGAGGCUCAACCUCGGAACUGCCUUUCAUACUGGCAAUCUUGAGUCCGGGAGAGGUGAGUGGAACUCCUAGUGUAGAGGUGAAAUUCGUAGAUAUCGGGAGGAACACCGGUGGCGAAGGCGGCGAUCUGGGUCGAUACUGACGCUGAGGUGCGAAAGGCGUGGGGAGCAAACAGG
rnacentral:rRNA from 1 species